ensembl:lncRNA
GGGGUCUUAAAGGAAUGGGGGGGGGCCUAAAAUAUGGGGGGGGUCCUAAAGGAUGGGGAGGGGUCCUAAAUUAUGGGGGGGGAGUCUUAAAAUAUGGGAGGGUCCUGAAUUAUGGGGGGGGGCACUGGGACCCCCCUUUGGAUCUCCAUAGAAUUGGGGACCCCCCCCAUAAUUGAAGAUAUCCCCCUUUGGAACCCUAUAGAAUUGGGGACCCCAAAGAUUUUGGGGUGAGGUGGGGGGGACGACCCUAAAAACUGUGGAAAUAACCCCAAAUGUUGGAAUAAAUGUUGAAUAUGGGAACAUGUUCCCCCAAAACCUCAAUGAAUGACCCCAAAAUCCCAUUAAUUAGCCCCAAAACCUCAAAGAAUGACCCUCAAAAACCCAAUGAAUGACCCCAAAAUCCCAUUGAUUGGCCCCAAAACCCCAAAGAUUGACCCCAAAACCCCAAUGAAUGACCCCAAAAUCCCAUCAAACAGCCCCAAAACCCGAAAGACCCCAAAGAAUAACCCCAAAACCCCAAAGAAUGACUCCAAUGACCCCAAAACCCCAUUGAAUCACCCCAAAAACCCAAUGAUUGACCUCAAAAAUGCAAUGAAUGACCCCAAAACCCCAUUGAAUGACCCCAAUGACACCAAAACCCCAUGAAACGACCCCAAAACCCCAUUGAAUGAACACAAUUAAUGACCCCAAAGAUCCCCGACCCCAUAAUGGCCUUUAAUUGCCCCAAAAUGGCCAUUUUUAACCCCAAAACGGCCUUUUAUUACCCCAAAAUUACCUUUUAUUGCCCCCAAAUGGCCUUUUAUUACCCCAAAAUGGCCUUUUUUUACCCCCAAACAGCCUUUUAUUACCCAAAAUGACCCUUUAUUACCCCAAAACAACCUUUUAUUGCCCCAAAAUGGCCUUUUUUUACCCCAAAAUGUCCUUUAAUUGCCCCAAAACAACCUGUUUUUAACCCAAAAUGGCCUUUAUUACCGCAAAAAUGGCCCUUUUUUUACCCCAAAACAGCCUUUAUUACCCCAUAACAACCUUUAAUUACCCCAAAAUGUCCUUUUAUUACCCCAAAAAGGCCCUUCAUUACCCCAAAAUGACCAUUUAUUACCCAAAACAGCCUUUUUUUACCCCAAAAUGGCUUUUAUCAUUACCCCAAAAUGGCCUUUUAUCACCCCAAAUGUCCAUUAAUUGCCCCAAAAUUGCCCUUUAUUACCCCAAAACGGCCCUUUAUUACCCCAAACUGACCAUUUAUUACCCAAAACAGCCCUUUUUUACCCCAAAAUGGCUUUUAUUAUUGCCCCAAAAUGGCCUUUUAUUACCCCAAAUCAACCCCAAAACAGCCUUUAUUUACCCCAAAACAACCUUUUAUUGCCCCAAAACUGCCUUUAUUGCCCCCAAACGACCCUUUAUUACCCCAAAAUGGCCCUUUUUUACCCCAAAAUGUCCAUUAAUUGCCCCAAAAUGGCCCUUUUUUACCCCAAACUGUCCUUUAAUUGCCCCAAAAUUGCCCUUUUUUACCCCAAAAGGGCCCUUUAUUACCCCAAACUGA